GUUGGAAACCCAGAGGGUUGUCAGAAGAGGACACGACUUCUGCAGGACCGCUGAACUUGCUGGUGUAUUAUGUCAGCAAUGCACUGGGAGGCCAGACGCCGCCAGCAAGUGCUGGAUCGCAGAUUAUCUGCAAAAGUCAAGCAGGCAGAGAUGAAAGGAAAAAAUGAAGAGCAGUCACACACACACAAUCCACCUACAGGAUCCAGUAACACUCGGGAGGUUGACAAGAAAUGCAUUUGUAAGUGUCAGCCUUCUGACGAGGAAACAUAUAUCAAGAAUAACAAAAAAUACUCGUCCCUACAGUACUCCCAGCAAUGGUGAAGAUGGGGGCCAGACCAAUGGGCAGAACCAACGCCACAGAUAAAGAUCUGUAUUUUAAUAAUAAAAAACUUCUGUAUUAAUCUUUGCAAUUCAAAUAAAAUUGGUUUCUCGAAAGGCUCUGAUUGGAUCUUGUACAGUACCUUACAAGUUUAAAACACAAAUAAUUAAAU